rnacentral:rRNA from 1 species
GUUGGUAAGGUAAUGGCUUACCAAGGCAACGAUGCGUAGCCGACCUGAGAGGGUGAUCGGCCACACUGGGACUGAGACACGGCCCAGACUCCUACGGGAGGCAGCAGUAGGGAAUCUUCCGCAAUGGACGAAAGUCUGACGGAGCAACGCCGCGUGAGUGAUGAAGGUUUUCGGAUCGUAAAACUCUGUUGUUAGGGAAGAACAAGUACCAUUCGAAUAGGGCGGUACCUUGACGGUACCUAACCAGAAAGCCACGGCUAACUACG